rnacentral:rRNA from 1 species
CAAUAGCGUAUAUUAAAGUUGUUGCGGUUAAAAAGCUCGUAGUUGGAUUCCUGUAUGGAAGGGGCGUCCCCACCCUUUGGAUGGGGGUUGCUGCCUUCUUUGCAUCUUCCGGAGUAGAUGUUCCUCACUUCACUGUGAGGACAUUAUGCUCGGGUCAUUUACUUUGAGGAAAAGAGAGUGCUCCAAGCAGGCAAACGCCUGAAUACGUUAGCAUGGAAUAAUAGCAUCGGAUCAUCGUUCAGCUGUUGGUGUCUGGACGAGGAUAAAGGUGAACAGGGAUUGUUGGGGGCAUUCGUAUUUAAUUGUCAGAGGUGAAAUUCUUGGAUUUGUUAAAGACGGACUACCUGACGAAAGCUAUUUGCCGAAGGAUUGUUUUCUAUUGAUCAAAGAAACGUAAAGGUUAGGGAUACGAAGACGAUCAG